rnacentral:lncRNA from 1 species
CUGAAAGGACUGAAGAUGGCAGUGCAGGAACAGACAUUCAGCUCCAGCACCAGCUACACCGGGAGAUGAGUUGUGGUCAGAAAUCCUGAAGCCACAGCAGACAACCAGUUUCUUCUGAUGAGUGGCCAUUGAUUGGAGUAUCCGAGCUAGGAACUAGCAUGGGAAGCGGCAUGGUCUAGCGGAAAGAGUUCUACGGACAGGAAGCGCGGUAUUGUAUAUGGUGCUCCCUUGAAGAGAACUCUUGCUUCGGCCACCAUGCAGCCAGAGAAGAGGAUCCAAAAGAUAGAGAUGAUCACCUCUCUGAGAGUUCUGCAGGACGAGAACCAGUGCUGCUUAUUGUCCAAGAUUCGAUUGUCCAAGAUGUCGGGAAACUCUAACGAUGGAUGCCGGUUCAGCCAGGGGUGUCAAGUGUGCUGCAUUUGUGAUACUGAUCCUGUUUGUGCAGUAGUGAUUGAGUUGCUGAGGCAUAAACACAACCAACAGCUUUGCCCAUUGGUAGUAUGAAAUAUCACCGGCUUGCUCAGCAGCACAAAACAUAUAAGGUAAUUUAGCCCUCAUCUCUCCUUGCUGACUUUUCAGCAGUGUUUGAUUUACUCCUACAGAGCACUGAGCUAGUCUGGUUAUCCUCAUCAAAGCUGAGGGAGGAAUUUGCCUGAAAUGCUGUGGCUGGUGGUCCUGUGGAAAUAUGUCAGAGCAAAUAUUCAACUGGUCUCCAGAGUUGGGUUUUGUUUGUUCUGCAAGGAAGCUGUUUGUGUGUUAUGAGCUGAAUCCUGGCUUUUUGCAAAUGUAGACAACAGCUUUUUCCUCAACUGCCAAACUAGCAGUGAAUUCACCUUGCGUUAGUGGGUCUAAAUGCACUAUGCAGGUCACUCUUUUGGGAUUCAUCUGGCCACAGAGACUUGAUCUUUUCUGUGAGAUUUUCAAUAAUGCUCGGGUACUAUGAGGGUCUCUCAUCUGAUAUUUUUUCUCUCCCCACCUCAACUCUUUUACAUUUGCUUGAUUCUCAUUGGGUUGUAAAUUCUUCCAAAGCACCUUGUUUUUAAUUCCACUAGAAGUUCCCAGGCAGCUAGUAAAGUGUUCAGCACACAAUGAGUGCCCAGUACAGUGCUCUACCCUUAGCAGGUGCUCAGUACAAUGCUUUGCACAUGGUAGACACUCAUUAAUUAAUUCAGCUACUCAUUCGUGUCCUCCUCCUUCUCACCCAAACACAGACUCUUGAGCUUUGUACAAAUGAAGUCUUCCAGCAAGGACAAGAAUUCUUCCUGCUUUUGCCUCCUGUCAUGCUUUGGCUCCAAAGUUAAACCAUCAUUACAUUAUGCAGAUUCACAAGUUUGAUGGGUCCAGGAGAUCUGAAUCCUUAAGGUCCUUUAGGUUAAUGACUCUUGACUGAGGAACUCAAGUGAUUUUUCAGUGACUUCUCACCCGAAAACCACUGGAAGUAUCUUGCCUGCAGCUACUUGGAGGCUUAGGAUAUUUCAUCCUAAAGUGAUUCUUCUGACUGAGGGACAGUUGAUUGUUAAUGAACAAUACAAUUCCUUCAAAAUCCAACCAUCUCUGUGAUUAGAAAGCUUGACACAACAUUUUUGCUUGCC